GUGCCAGCCGCCGCGGUAAUACGAAGGGGGCUAGCGUUGCUCGGAAUUACUGGGCGUAAAGGGAGCGUAGGCGGACUGUUAAGUUAGAGGUGAAAGCCCAGGGCUCAACCUUGGAAUUGCCUUUGAUACUGGCAGUCUUGAGUACGGAAGAGGUAUGUGGAACUCCGAGUGUAGAGGUGAAAUUCGUAGAUAUUCGGAAGAACACCAGUGGCGAAGGCGACAUACUGGUCCGUUACUGACGCUGAGGCUCGAAAGCGUGGGGAGCAAACAGGAUUAGAUACCCGCGUAGUCC
rnacentral:rRNA from 1 species